rnacentral:rRNA from 1 species
UACGGAAGGGGCAAGCGUUGUUCUGAAUCAUUGGGCGUAAAGGGCGCGUAGGUGGUUCUGUAUGUCUACCGUGAAAGCGUACGGCUCAACCGUAUUUUGUCGGUGGAAACUGCAGGACUUGAGGCUGGGAGGGGCUGGUGGAAUUCCCUGUGUAGCGGUGAAAUGCGUAGAGAUGGGGGAGAACACUCGUGGCGAAGGCGGCCAGCUAGACCAGUUCUGACACUGAGGCGCGACAGCGUGGGGAGCAAACAGG